CUGGUAGAUAUUUUCUUUCUUCAUUUUUUUACAUGUCCUGGAAUGGUUCAGCAACCUAAUAAUGUUUUAUCAAUCCUCGUGAGCACUUCUCUCAGAUCCUGGCUUUCAUGCAUGUCCGUGUGAAGAGACCACCAAACAGGCUUUGUGUGAGCAACAUGGCUGUUUAUUUCACCUGGGUGCAGGUGGGCUGAGUCCGAAGAGAGUCAGCGAAGGGAGAUAAGGGUGGAGCCAUUUCAUAGGAUUCGGAGGGAGUCUUGCUCUGUCAUCCAGGCUGGAGUGCAGUGGCACGAUCUUGGCUCACUGCAACCUCCACCUCCCAGGUUCAAGCAAUUCUCCUGUCUCAGCCUCCUGAGUAGCUGCAACUACAGGAGGCAGAAAAAAAUCUAGGAUGUAACUCUGGUCCUGCCUACGGAAAGAUGGGUAGCUUUCUGUCAUCACUGCUCUGGGUCUUGGUUUCUUCUUUUUUAAAAUAAAGAAGCUGAAUUGGAAUCAAUAGUUUAUAAACUGUAUUACUAAUAAAACCCUUUUUA
rnacentral:lncRNA from 1 species